rnacentral:rRNA from 1 species
UAUUAUGAGAGUUUGAUCCUGGCUCAGGACGAACGCUGGCGGCGUGCCUAAUACAUGCAAGUCGAACGCUUCUUUCCUCCCGAGUGCUUGCACUCAAUUGGAAAGAGGAGUGGCGGACGGGUGAGUAACACGUGGGUAACCUACCCAUCAGAGGGGGAUAACACUUGGAAACAGGUGCUAAUACCGCAUAACAGUUUAUGCCGCAUGGCAUAAGAGUGAAAGGCGCUUUCGGGUGUCGCUGAUGGAUGGACCCGCGGUGCAUUAGCUAGUUGGUGAGGUAACGGCUCACCAAGGCCACGAUGCAUAGCCGACCUGAGAGGGUGAUCGGCCACACUGGGACUGAGACACGGCCCAGACUCCUACGGGAGGCAGCAGUAGGGAAUCUUCGGCAAUGGACGAAAGUCUGACCGAGCAACGCCGCGUGAGUGAAGAAGGUUUUCGGAUCGUAAAACUCUGUUGUUAGAGAAGAACAAGGACGUUAGUAACUGAACGUCCCCUGACGGUAUCUAACCAGAAAGCCACGGCUAACUACGUGCCAGCAGCCGCGGUAAUACGUAGGUGGCAAGCGUUGUCCGGAUUUAUUGGGCGUAAAGCGAGCGCAGGCGG